GAUGAACGCUGGCGGCGUGCCUAAUACAUGCAAGUCGAGCGAAUGGAUUAAGAGCUUGCUCUUAUGAAGUUAGCGGCGGACGGGUGAGUAACACGUGGGUAACCUGCCCAUAAGACUGGGAUAACUCCGGGAAACCGGGGCUAAUACCGGAUAACAUUUUGAACCGCAUGGUUCGAAAUUGAAAGGCGGCUUCGGCUGUCACUUAUGGAUGGACCCGCGUCGCAUUAGCCAGUUGGUGAGGUAACGGCUCACCAAGGCAACGAUGCGUAGCCGACCUGGGAGGGUGAUCGGCCACACUGGGACUGAGACACGGCCCAGAAUCCUACGGGAGGCAGCAGUAGGGAAUCUUCCGCAAUGGACGAAAGUCUGACGGAGCAACGCCGCGUGAGUGAUGAAGGCUUUCGGGUCGUAAAACUCUGUUGUUAGGGAAGAACAAGUGCUAGUUGAAUAAGCUGGCACCUUGACGGUACCUAACCAGAAGGCCACGGCUAACUACGUGCCAGCCGCCGCAGUAA
rnacentral:rRNA from 1 species